rnacentral:rRNA from 1 species
AGAAUCAACGCUGGCGGCGUGCCUAACACAUGCAAGUCGAACGAGAAAGUGGAGCAAUCCAUGAGUAAAGUGGCGACCGGGUGAGUAACACGUGACUAACCUACCUUCGAGUGGGGGAUAACCUCGGGAAACCGGGGCUAAUACCGCAUAAAAUCUUUGGAUCGGAAGAACUGGAGAUCAAUGGAGCAAUUCGCUUGAAGAGGGGGUCGCGGCUGAUUAGCUAGUUGGCGGGGUAAUGGCCCACCAAGGCUUUGAUCGGUAGCCGGCCUGAGAGGGCGCACGGCCACACUGGAACUGAAACACGGUCCAGACUCCUACGGGAGGCAGCAGUGGGGAAUUUUGCGCAAUGGGGGAAACCCUGACGCAGCAACGCCGCGUGGAGGAUGAAGUCCCUUGGGACGUAAACUCCUUUCGACCGGGACGAUUAUGACGGUACCGGUGGAAGAAGCCCGGCUAACUUCGUGCCAGCAGCCGC